rnacentral:rRNA from 1 species
GUGCCAGCACGCCGCGGUAAUUCCAGUCUCCAAUAGCGUAUAUUAAAGUUGUUGUGGUUAAAAAGCUCGUAGUUGAACCUUGGGCCUGGCUGGCCGGUCCGCCUCACCGCGUGCACUGGUCCGGCCGGGCCUUUCCCUCUGUGGAACCCCAUACCCUUCACUGGGCGUGGCGGGGAAACAGGACAUUUACUUUGAAAAAAUUAGAGUGCUCCAGGCAGGCCUAUGCUCGAAUACAUUAGCAUGGAAUAAUAAAAUAGGACGCGCGGUUCUAUUUUGUUGGUUUAUAGGACCGCCGUAAUGAUUAAUAGGGACAGUCGGGGGCAUCAGUAUUCAACUGUCAGAGGUGAAAUUCUUGGAUCAGUUGAAGACUAACUACUGCGAAAGCAUUUGCCAAGGAUGUUUUCAUUAAUCAGGAACGAAAGUUAGGGGAUCGAAGACGAUCAGAUACCGUCGUAGUCUUAACCAUAAACUAUGCCGACUAGGGAUCGGACGGUGUUAUUCAUGACCCGUUCGGCACCUUACGAGAAAUCAAAGUGCUUGGGCUCCAGGGGGAGUAUGGUCGCAAGGCUGAAACUUAAAGAAAUUGACGGAAGGGCACCACCAGGGUGGAGCCUGCGACUUAAUUUGACUCAACACGGGCAAACUCACCAGGUCCAGACACAAUAAGGAUUGACAGAUUGAGAGCUCUUUUCUUGAUUUUGUGGGUGGUGAUGCAUGGCCGUUCUUGGUUGGUGGGGUUGACUUUGUCUGCUUAAUUUGCGGAUAACGAACGAGACCUUAAUCUUGCUGA